GUGGGUGUAGCUAGUGGUAGAGCUCCUGCUUAGCAUGCAGGAGGCCCUGGGUUCGAUUCCCAGCACAACA
rnacentral:tRNA from 1 species